CCGUAUAGACCAAGAGGGUCUAUACAUCGCCUCACCCCACCUUCACAAUCCCCGGGCCGUGUGAACGGGACCUGACACGUAGAGUUUCAUACCAACGCCGCCUUUAGUUAUAAUUACGGAAUUUAUUCUCUGCAGGGGUGGACACGGACGGUGAAAGCAAGGUGGGCGAAGGGGUAAGGUAAAGGACCCGCCUUUAAGAGACCUGGGCUGUAUUCUGUACUCUGCCACUGAGCCAAAGCCCACUGGAAUCAAUGGGAGUGUUUCCACUGACUUAUAAUUGCCCAUGUUCUAGGAACCUAGGGCAAUUAUUUCAUCUAUUUGUGAGUAUCUUUCCCCCCCCCCUUCCCCUUUUAAUACAUUGUCCUAUUUAGAAAAUAAUCUAGCUAGGGCAAGGACUGUCAGUGUGUUUGUCUAGUUAACUUUAGAGCACCAGCGUGCUGAUCUGAGAGGAGAUGCCAAGUGGCUCUUGCAUCAGAGAUAAAGAUUAACACCUCCCAUCUCUCCCCAGUGUAGCACCAGAGCCUGGAUGGAUACAAGGGUUAUUUACCUUCUCCUAACUGUUGUUCUGUGAGAUGUGUUGAUCAUGUCAAUUCCAAUCAGGUGUGUGGGUGCUGCGUGCAUGGUAGCCAGAAGAUUUUUUCCCUAGCAGUAGCCGUAGGGUUGGCCUGGGCCCCCCCUGGAGUUACACCCUCAUGGCACUCAAAGUAGGGCCCUGCUGCCCCAACCCUCCUUCAGUUCCUUCUUGCUGGCUACUCAAACAAAGGAGUGUGGGGGGGGGGGGGAAGGUAUUGGAAUGGAUGUGAACACCACAUCUCGAGGAACAGGGUAUGAGAAGGUGAGUAACCGUUUUUUCUUCUUCAAGUGACUGAAAAUGCCAUGAACAAUCAGGUGCCUCCCAAGCCUAAAUUACAGAGGCAGGGUCAGAGUUGUCCACAGAUUGGAGCACCACUCUAGCAAAGGCCGCAACAUCUCUGGCCUGCUAGACUGAUCUGUCCCCUACUAAAAUGAAAAGCAAGAGCUCUAGUUGAAUAGAAUGGUGCAGAAUGUCGCGAUUCCUGUUCCAGGAGGACCAGCUCCCUGUGUAAACUCCUUUUAAUUCAAGAUACUGAAAGCUAAAUCAGAAAUAAUAUUCUUUAUACUUCAGCUGUCUUUACGAGGAAGCAGGAAGCCUGAGACACUGACAUUAAUGGGAGAUAAUUUCCCUGUACCACCUAACUGAUCCUAGGACAUUCAACUGACCAGCACUUCAUGCCUGAAAGUUUUAACAUUGAACUUACCCACAUUUAUAAGUCCCCUGAACCUGGGCAAUAUUCAUAUGACCACUUAAGUUUCUUGCCAGGGCUGUAGGAAUAAUUGGGACAGAUUUCACAGGAGUGUAUUCUAGAGCAUUUGUUAUAGUAACAGCUGCCCAGUGAAAAUCAAAGUUUAGGUUGUCCAUCUUCUCUGCUGAAGUAAUGUGAACUCUUAUGGUGAGCAGUCUGGAAAGAUCCAAAGAGUCUCUACUGCAUAAACUGUGUUGAAGUCCCUAGGAUAUGCAAAAAAACGCUGAGAUUCGUUUUUAUACACCUAAUUUAUACAUGACAAUAGGUAUAUUACAGUAAUGCCUAGGUGCUUCUGUCAUGAAUCAGGGCCAACAUUGUGCCAGGCAUUAUUUAAACACAAAGAAUUGGCCCCUUCUUCAAACAUCUCAUGACUAUAUCGAACAUAGUGAAUAAUAAUAUGAAAUGCAUCCAUUAUAUAUGAAAACGUGUAGUUAGCUAUGUUAAAUUGGAACACGCAAAAAUCUACAAGGGCAAACAGAGGGUCCAAGAAUUAGUUUAUCAAAAACCUAGCAAUAGGACAACCGCUUGCAUCCAAGAAACCCGCAUAACACAAAUGGAUGUAACCACAAGGAGAUUAUUCACUGGAACAUAAAUUGCCUUUUCUAGAUAUGAAAAACCACCCUAUAAAUACAGUCAUAGGGCAAGAGUAGCAGGAAAAAAAAAAUGUUUAGCUGCCCCAGAUUCUCUGCUUCCUUGAACAUCAGCUAUACUUACUGAAGUAUCCCCUUUGGGGAAGACAAAUAUCCCUUCUCUCCCAGAAGGGUUUGGCAAGGAAGGUUUACUUAACCUAGGUUUAAAAUAUUUAAAGAUGUACAGCUCCCAUUUAUAGAGUUUGUAGAAAAGGAAAUUGGUUCAGCUGUAAAGCCUACUAGAUUUACAUUUGUUUACAAGCAAUAGCCUGUUUACACACAUACUCUUAUGAGUUUAGGUACCAUCUCUGUAGUUACUGGUAUACUGUUUCUACACACUAACAUUUUAAUGUUUUUCAUAGUCCAGAUAACUCUCUCAAUACUUUGUGUAUUAAAAGCUGCACAAACAAUACAAGGUGCAACUUGCCCUAUCAAAGAAUUCCUGACAUUUUUGUUUUAAAUUGACUGGGUCCUAAACCAAUCAUACAAACUUGUCUUGGGGUCUGAUCUUAUAAAGACUUAAGCACGUGUUCAGCUUCAAGCACAGGAAUAUUAUUUCUUUAAAGAUGAAUGGCAGAGAAACUCUUAUUGCUUAUGCCUAUUACCAUGCCUUUUGAUGCAAAAAAGAAUGAGGUACUUUUCUGCUUUAUUUUUUAAACCGUGGGGGGAAAAACCAACAUCAUCAUGGCUUGCCUUAUUCAUUUUGCUUGAGGGACCAACUGGAGAAGGAUAAAAAAAAAAAUCCUAACAGACUGAAAUUUAAGAUUAGCUAUCAGACUUCAGUUGAAAUCAGUUUGAAAUACAAUUCUCAAAACAGGAAAACUAAUCAGUGUAAUUAGAUAUCCUGUUCUAUCAUAACUGAAGGUUUGGAAGCUGCAGCUUAUCUUGCGGUCUCUUGUGAUGUAAUUAUUUCAGGUUUCUCCAGCAACAAAGGGUAUGUCUACAUUGCAAUGAAAAACCCACGGCCGGCUGGUGCCAGCUGACUCAGCUUCAUGGGGCUGUUGCAUUACAGUGUAGUCUUUAGGGCUCGGGCUGAAGCCCGGGCUCUAGGGCCCUGCAAGGUAGGAGAUACCAGAACCCAGAAGUCUACACUGCAAUGAAACAGCCCGAGUUGGCUGGCAAGGGCCAACCACAAGUGUCUAAUUGCUGUUUAGACAUACCCAAAGAGGGUUCUUUAGCCCCACCUACAAAAAGCGAAAGGGAAGUAAAGAACUGAUGUUCCUGAUAUAUAUAAACAAAAAAUCCACCCAAAUCAUGCAUGACUUUCUUUAUACACUGUAAAUCAAUCGAUAAAGAGGAUGUAGGGUCUGGAUGGUAUGGGGUUUUUUUUUGGCACUUUGCGGAUCUUUUGAUUUCAAGAGAAUUUACUGUUGAACAUGACCUUGCAAACUGAAAUAAUCAUUCACAAGAAUGAUUUGGCACCAACAGAGCAAGUUCUCCCCAUAUUAUCCCACCAUUCUGGGAGAGAGUUUCAGCUAGGAGCGAAAAGGAGUUUUGUCUUCAUGCUCAUCUUGUCUUAGGAAUUUCUACUGAGACUGCCAGUAAAGGAGCUUAUUGGUGACAAUCAUGAUGUGGACUGAGAACAGCUCACUUCACAUAGGCCAUUAAAUGGUAACCUUCUGGACUUUGCUCUUCUGGUUUGGAUUUAGAUACUGAAAGCCAUCUAGUCUCCUCUCUGUGUCACUGUUUUAAGAGAUAAGAAAGUUGCUAGGAGUGGCUUACCUUAAAAGCUAAGCUGAAGUCUUCAGAACUGUGCACUAUAACAUCUCCGGAGGAAGAUCCCCAAGCGUUAAUUGUACAUGGAAUCAAAAAGUCUCCAGGAAGAGGUGCUGUGGGGACUUUCCCUGAACCAUCAGUUACUUCUCGACCAGGAUCAAAUCUGUCUAUUGUCAGUGAUACACCUUCAUCGUCUGGGGGGCGG